UUGCUUUGGCAGCACUUGCACUAAAAUUGUAAUGAUACAGAGAAGAUGACAUGGCUCCCAUGCAAGGAUGACAUACAAAUUUGUAAAGCAUUCCAUACUUUU
rnacentral:snRNA from 1 species